AGGAAUAUUGGUCAAUGGCCGUAAGGCUGAACCAGCCAAGUCGCGUGAAGGAAGAAGUAUCUAUGGUUUGUAAACUUCUUUUCUAGGGGAAUAAAGGUAUCCACGUGUGGAUAUUUGCAUGUACCCUAUGAAUAAGCAUCGGCUAACUCCGUGCCAGCCGCCGCGGUAAUACGGAGGAUGCGAGCGUUAUCCGGAUUUAUUGGGUUUAAAGGGUGCGUAGGUUGUUUUUUAAGUCAGCGGUGAAAGUUUGUGGCUCAACCAUAAAAUUGCCGUUGAAACUGGAAGACUUGAGUGUGUUUGAGGUAGGCGGAAUGCGUGGUGUAGCGGUGAAAUGCAUAGAUAUCACGCAGAACUCCGAUUGCGAAGGCAGCUUACUAAGCCAUAACUGACACUGAAGCACGAAAGCGUGGGGAUCAAACA
rnacentral:rRNA from 1 species